rnacentral:rRNA from 1 species
UACGUAGGGUGCAAGCGUUAAUCGGAACUACUGGGCGUAAAGCGUGCGCAGGCGGUUGUGCAAGUCAGAUGUGAAAUCCCCGGGCUCAACCUGGGAACUGCAUUUGUGACUGCACGGCUAGAGUGUGUCAGAGGGGGGUAGAAUUCCACGUGUAGCAGUGAAAUGCGUAGAUAUGUGGAGGAAUACCGAUGGCGAAGGCAGCCCCCUGGGAUAACACUGACGCUCAUGCACGAAAGCGUGGGGAGCAAACAGG